rnacentral:rRNA from 1 species
GACGAACCGUACGAACGUUAUUCGGAAUCACUGGGCUUAAAGGGUGCGUAGGCUGUGCGGAAAGUUGGGCGUGAAAUACCUCAGCUUAACUGAGGAACUGCGUUCAAAACUACCGUGCUGGAGGGAGACAGAGGUGAGCGGAACUUAGGGUGGAGCGGUGAAAUGCGUUGAUAUCCUAAGGAACACCGGUGGCGAAAGCGGCUCACUGGGUCUCUUCUGACGCUGAGGCACGAAAGCUAGGGUAGCAAACGGGAUUAGAAACCCCAGUAGUCC